ensembl:lncRNA
CCCAGGUUCCCAGGCAUGGGGUCAUAUCAAACCUCUAAUUGGUGUCCUUGGCCCUGCAAGAGCAUCCCCUGCUCGAGUCCUUCCUGCUGUCCUGCAGUACUCCAGGUCCUGCAGUGCCCCUUGGCUUUGCAGAAGGAGAAAGGACAGAUCUUUGGUGUGAGGUUUUAAUAGCUGUUGGGGCAAUAGAUGUUUUAGAGACUGUGAUUUUGUAUCUGGCAUCCUCUUCUGUGGUCUCAAACCAAGAAAUGGCAAAGCAUGGAGCUGGAAGGAUGAAGCGAAGACUUGUCACAGCGAAUCUGGAAAUGCGGAGAGGAUGGAGAAAUGUUGUCCCCCUGGUCUGAGAUCAAGGUUGGGGUCACCACUGCUCUGAGCGUGUGAUUCAACACAGCUCCAGCUCCAGUUCCCCCAGUUAAUGUGUAGGGGCAGACUGAGUCCUGCCAUGACAGCUCUGUUUCUCCACAUGACACCUUUAAUCACGAAGGAAAGAGCACCAGAAGCCCAAGCCCUGGGAAACUGAAGAAACCCACCUAGUGGGAGACAGAAAACUUCCCUUGCUGCGAAUGGUUGGUGAAACUGGACUCAACAGAAAGCUAGGAGCAAGGCAAGGACACAAAGACUGUCCUCAUCUGGAAGACCUCCAGUGCAGGAAGAGCACCUACUGGGGGACAACCACAUACCAGGGACACCUCAGCACGACUCCUGUGACAACACCAGGAGGCAGCAGGGACCAGCAGCACUGAUCCACAGGUGAUGCUGCUAAGAGUACUUCAUACACAGGUAGAAUGUGAGUUUAUGUGGGUUUUGACACUAGCAAAAUAUUCCAGCCUGGAUAGGCAUCAGCUCAUGUAUCUGUAGGUAGUUGAGGGAAGAGCGACCACUUUUAGGACAAUGCUCAUUCACACAAUGAUUGCCCUUGGGGAAGAUGUUGCAGCCAUGUGACAGACACGACACUGUGAUGAUGCUGUGCCCAACACAGCGGGGUUUGGGGGCAGAGAUAAGGAGCCCAGCCUGCUGCCAGAUGUGCCGAGCUGGAGGGAGCACAGCACUGCAGAAUCACAGAGCACAGAAAUGAGCUGAGCUUAGCAUGCCAGCAUCCUCUCACACACACACGAGAGCUGUGUGGAAUCGCAGUCCUGACAAAGCCUGACUUCUCCGAUUCAGAGGAAAUGAAAAGGACUUUGUGACUGCUGUGACCGCUGAUAGAGGGUUGGUGUGCCCAGGGGACAGCCAGCCAAGGGAGAGGGAGGAGCGCUGGAAGAUUUGGCUUCAGUGAACAGUUCCUUAAAUUCAAUGAGUCAUGAUUUUCUUUCGGCGCACGCGGCCCUCUGUGUAUAAACUCCAGCCCAGAGAGAAAAAUAUCCCCUGGUCAUUGGUGAGAGCGGGCAAUGGUUUCCUAAGGAUUAAUUCCUCCUAACAGAUAUGGUCUGCAUUCCUUUGGAAGAUGCCCUCCCACAGGCCCUCUCUCACAGAGCCACACUAAAAAUAGAGCUGAGUGCUUCCUGAUGGCACCGCUGUGUUUCUCUGGAAAGGCAGGUGUUGUUUCUCUGGAAAGGUAGGUGAAGCUGACAACGUUCAACACACUUAAAUUUGCCUGAUAAUGUUGUUAUUUAUCCAUAGAUCAUAGAAUGGCCUGGGUUGAAAAGGACCACAAUGAUCAUAGAGUUUCAACCCCCUGCUAUGUGCAGGGUCGCCAACCACCAGACCAGGCUGCCCAGAGCCACAUCCAGCCUGGGAAUCCAUAGAUUUCAAACCGAGUGAUGAUUUCACAAAAAGACAAGGCACAGUCCUAUUUUUCUUCCCUUACAUGUGAAAAAUGUGCAUGUGGUUUGCAUAAUCAAAAUGCAUUUUCUCUCUGUCCACUGCAAGGUGAGGUGGAGGCUCCUCCAUCAUCCAGCUGCUCACUCAGCA